UACGGAGGGAGCUAGCGUUGUUCGGAAUUACUGGGCGUAAAGCGCGCGUAGGCGGCUUUGUAAGUUAGAGGUGAAAGCCCGGAGCUCAACUCCGGAACUGCCUUUAAGACUGCAUCGCUAGAACGUCGGAGAGGUAAGUGGAAUUCCGAGUGUAGAGGUGAAAUUCGUAGAUAUUCGGAAGAACACCAGUGGCGAAGGCGACACGCUGGGCCGUACCUGACGCUAAAGCGCGACAGCAUGGGGAGCAAACGGG
rnacentral:rRNA from 1 species